rnacentral:rRNA from 1 species
UAAGGAAUAUUGGUCAAUGGACGCAAGUCUGAACCAGCCAUGCCGCGUGAAGGAUGAAGGUCCUCUGGAUUGUAAACUUCUUUUAUCUGGGACGAAAACGGGAUUUUUAUCUCAAUUGACGGUACCAGAGGAAUAAGCACCGGCUAACUCCGUGCCAGCAGCCGCGGUAAUACGGAGGGUGCGAGCGUUAUCCGGAUUUACUGGGUUUAAAGGGUGCGUAGGUGGGCUUAUAAGACAGUGGUGAAAUCUCCGAGCUUAACUUGGAAACUGCCGUUGAUACUAUAGGUCUUGAAUUAUCUGGAGGUAAGCGGAAUAUGUCAUGUAGCGGUGAAAUGCUGAGAUAUGACAUAGAACACCAAUUGCGAAGGCAGCUUACUACAUAUAAAUUGACGCUGAGGCACGAAAGCGUGGGGAUCAAACA